GUUUGGGUACAAAAGUAAAGCACAUGCAGUUGUAUGGAGUACCUAACACUUGACUGUGAUAAUAACAAUAUGGUAGCAUUUAUGUUUUCACUAUACUGUUAUGGUUAUUUUCCAGUAUACUCCUUCUACUUAUAUAUUUUUAAAAGUUAACUGUAAAACAGCUCCAGGCAGAUCCUUCAGGAGCACUGCAGAAGGCAGCCUUGUCAUCAUAAGAGGUGACAGCUCCAUGCACAUGACUGCCCUCAAUCCCUUCCAGGGGGACAGGAUGCGGAGGAAGACAGUGAGGUUACUUUUGCGGCAGGGAUGAUGAACAAGAUUGAAAGUGCAAGAAAAACAAGAAACCAGAAACACAGACUCUUACAUCUUGCUCUCACAAAAGUGGUCCUGACACUGGAAGGAUGGGAGAGGCCCCAGGGUUUGUGACUCAGAC
rnacentral:lncRNA from 1 species